ensembl:lncRNA novel transcript, antisense to ERN1
AACAAAAAAACACCCUGAAAGUCAGACCUGAACCACUGACACUGUCCCAUCAGAUUCACAAAGGAGUCCUCAGAGAAAAACGAAAAUAUUCUAGGUCCUUGACAAGAAAAAGCAGAGUCCAACUUUGAUACCAAUGUUAAGGUGGCAAAUUGGUUUUUAGUUUUCAUUUGAGUUGGGUGAAUGUUAACUGCAGAAAUAACUAGGGAUGAGUCACAUUUGCAGAGUGGCCUUCUUGACAGGGUUGUUAAUGUCCUAUGCUGAUUUUACUUCUACUUUCCAUGGGCUUGCAGUAAAUUCCUUCUGUGACAUAGAAAGACUCAACGAGGGAUGUCCUCCUUCCUCUCUGGCUAAGCUUGUCACCAUUUUACUUCGGUUUCCCUUCAGACUUCACCAAGGCCCCUGCACAUUGACUGUGGGAAGUAUUUAUGAUAAGCCCAUGAAAAGUCCAUGGAAAGAAAGAACCUGGUGACAAAGAGUAUCUUAAAAGAAAAUCCUACUUUCUGGAGCCACUGUUUCCACAUAGGUCAAAAGUACUGGCCCAAGCUUGUGAAAUCCAGCAGAGAGCACUUACUGUAGUCCACGUCGUCCUCAGGCAGUGAGGCCGCAUAGUCAAAGUAGGUGGCAUUCCACCGGAGCUCUCGGGUUUUGGUGUCGUACAUGGUGAUGGUGUAUUCUAAAGAACACAGACCAGCCAGCCCAUUACCACGGAGGGGCCAUAGUACCUACUGAGGUGUGGUCCUUAUCUAAUUAUAACAAACAAAUCCUCCCUAAACUGUAGGCCAAAAAGUCCAGACUAUCCAUGUCGAUAGAGAAAGGCAAUGUGAGGAGAACUGAAGGCCCAGACACAUGAGUGAAACUGGCUGACAGCAUGUGGAAGCAGAGACGACCCACCCUCGCUAUGCCCUUGGACUCAUGGCUCACAGAAGUGUCUCCGAUCAAGAGGUGCCACACUUGAGGAGCAUCAUCUACCUCCAGACCUCAUGCAGAUAAUGAGAGGUGAGAUUUUGGGACUGAUGCUGGGAUUGGACUUUGGGGGUCUUUGGAGGGAGUGGGAGGGUUGUAAACUACUGCAGCCUGAGGGAGGACUGCAGUAGAACAUCUCUAAAGGUCACUACCACCAAUUCUUCCCAUUCCUGUAAUGCAUGUUACUCUUCCCAUCAAGAAGCCGAGUCUAUAUCUCUACCCUUGAUUCUCAGCUGGCCUUGAGACUUGCUUUGACCAACAGACUGCAGUGGAAGGAAGGUUCUGGAACUUUUGAGCCCAGACCUUAGGAGGCACUGUAACACCCAUUUUUACUCAAGAGGGAGCCCGCUGCCAUAUCAAGAGUCCAGGCUAUCUGUAUGGAGAAAGGUCACACGGAACUGAACUGAAGUCUCAGAUACAUGAGUGAGGCCAACCAAGCAUGUGGAAUAAAGAUGAUGGGUUCUUGUUGAG